GACGAACGCUGGCGGCGUGCCUAAUACAUGCAAUUCGAACGCACUCUCGUUUAGAUUGAAGGAGUUUGCUCCUGAUUGAUAAACAUUUGAGUGAGUGGCGGACGGGUGAGUAACACGUGGGUAACCUGCCCUAAAGUGGGGGAUAACAUUUGGAAACAGAUGCUAAUACCGCAUAAAACCUAACACCGCAUGGUGUAGGGUUGAAAGAUGGUUUCGGCUAUCACUUUAGGAUGGACCCGCGGUGCAUUAGUUAGUUGGUGAGGUAAAGGCUCACCAAGACCGUGAUGCAUAGCCGACCUGAGAGGGUAAUCGGCCACACUGGGACUGAGACACGGCCCAGACUCCUACGGGAGGCAGCAGUAGGGAAUCUUCCACAAUGGACGAAAGUCUGAUGGAGCAACGCCGCGUGAGUGAAGAAGGUUUUCGGAUCGUAAAACUCUGUUGUUGGAGAAGAAUGUAUCUGAUAGUAACUGAUCAGGUAGUGACGGUAUCCAACCAGAAAGCCACGGCUAACUACGUG
rnacentral:rRNA from 1 species